rnacentral:tRNA from 1 species
GGGGCGGUGGUCCAGCUUGGCUAAGAUGCCGGCCUCGGGAGCCGGAGAUCGCGGGUUCAAAAUGGUUUCAGCCAUGAAGCCGUGAAGCCAUGAAAAUCCCGCCCGCCCCACCA